rnacentral:rRNA from 1 species
CAGCACCUCAAGUGGUCAGGAUGAUUAUCGGGCCUAAAGCGUCCGUAGCCGGCGCUGUAAGUUUUCGGUUAAAUCUGUACGCUCAACGUACAGGCUGCCGGGAAUACUGCAGCGCUAGGGAGUGGGAGAGGUAGACGGUACUCGGUAGGAAGGGGUAAAAUCCUUUGAUCUAUUGAUGACCACCUGUGGCGAAGGCGGUCUACCAGAACACGUCCGACGGUGAGGGAUGAAAGCUGGGGGAGCAAACCGGAUUAGAUACCCGAGUAGUCC